CCUGCCUGCCAAGCAGGGGAGCAGCUCCUGGGAAUGAUGGAGCUGUGGAGGAGAGGGCAGUCCCAGCUUUCUGGGAAACGGGAGAUGGUAUGGCAGAACUUGAGAGACACAUAUUCUGUGGCUCUGAUUUGGAAAUGAGACAGGAAAUAAAUGACAAGGGAGAGCUCUGUGGAAAUCAGGAAAGCCCUGAUGAGCAGAAGCUGCGGAUGUGGAAGCCAGAGCAGCAGCACUUCCUACCUGUGAUUUGAUUGUCCUUACACUCAAUUGAAAGAAGUUUCGAGCUGUCCACUGGAAUGACUUGGAGCAGUGAGAUGACGUUGGAAGAUACUGAUCAGAGAACUGGUCUCAGAUUUCAAGACAGAAAAUGUCUCUGGAGAAUGGUGAAGAACAAAACCAGCAUUUUUUCCUUCAGGUCUUUUUCUUAGGGUGAAUGGAAAACAAUGGCAACAUGUUUGUGUGGCAUGGUCUUUGUUGAAGCAGACACUCAGCUUUUGCCUCUCCCAGAUGGAGUGAUAUAAAUGUGAUUGCCUUAUGCUCUUUCCUGGCUUGUCAUUACCACCUUGGGACUAGUAAUCUGUAAAUUAGAAUUUAUUCUGUUGGUGCUCCAGUGAAAAGGUUUAUUGGUGGAAAAAUUAAAAAUAGGGAUUGCUUUCUACACUGCUAUUAUAGCCUCCUUGAAAAUGAGGAAUGAGGAGCCCACAGCUAAUAAAUCCAGAAGAGGAAGGCUCCUAAUAUUGUGUGAAGGGUGGCUAGGGGCCAUU